AUUGAACGCUGGCGGCAUGCCUUACACAUGCAAGUCGAACGGCAGCGGGGGAGAAGCUUGCUUUUCCUGCCGGCGAGUGGCGAACGGGUGAGUAAUACAUCGGAACGUGCCCUGUAGUGGGGGAUAACUAGUCGAAAGAUUAGCUAAUACCGCAUACGACCUGAGGGUGAAAGUGGGGGACCGCAAGGCCUCAUGCUAUAGGAGCGGCCGAUGUCUGAUUAGCUAGUUGGUGGGGUAAAGGCCUACCAAGGCGACGAUCAGUAGCUGGUCGGGGAGGACGAUCAGCCACACUGGGACUGGGACACGGCCCAGACUCCUACGGGAGGCAGCAGUGGGGAAUUUUGGACAAUGGGCGAAAGCCCGAUCCAGCAAUGCCGCGUGUGUGAAGAAGGCCUUCGGGUUGUAAAGCACUUUUGUCCGGAAAGAAAUGGCUCUGGUUAAUACCUGGGGUCGAUGACGGUACCGGAAGAAUAAGGACCGGCUAACUACGUGCCAGCAGCCGCGGUAA
rnacentral:rRNA from 1 species